rnacentral:rRNA from 1 species
CGGAGGAUCCAAGCGUUAUCCGGAUUCACUGGGUUUAAAGGGUGCGUAGGUGGGUUUGUAAGUCAGUGGUGAAAUCUCCGAGCUUAACUCGGAAACUGCCAUUGAUACUAUAGAUCUUGAAUUAUCUGGAGGUGAGCGGAAUAUGUCAUGUAGCGGUGAAAUGCUUAGAUAUGACAUAGAACACCAAUUGCGAAGGCAGCUCACUACGGAUAUAUUGACACUGAGGCACGAAAGCGUGGGGAUCAAACAGGAUUAGAUACCCUGGUAGUCCACGCCCUAAACGAUGGAUACUCGACAUCAGCGAUACACUGUUGGUGUCUGAGCGAAAGCAUUAAGUAUCCCACCUGGGAAGUACGACCGCAAGGUUG